UACACUCCACUACACACCACUGGUGUUAACUAAAGGGGAAAACUCCCUCUUCCUCCAGGUAUGCCAUCGCAGGUGUCGAUCUCUCUCUCUGUCUCUCUCGCGCUCCCUCCCUCCGUCCAGGUAUCAAUAUGCCAUCGCAGGUGUCUAUCUGUCUAACUCUGUCUCUCUCUCGCGCUCCCUCCCUCCGUCCAGGUAUCAAUAUGCCAUCGCAGGUGUCUAUCUCUCUCUCUGUCUCUCUCUCGCGCUCCCUCCCUCCGUCCAGGUAUCAAUAUGCCAUCGCAGGUGUCUAUCUCUCUCUCUGUCUCUCUCUCGCGCUCCCUCCCUCCGUCCAGGUAUCAAUAUGCCAUCGCAGGUGUCUAUCUGUCUAACUCUGUCUCUCUCUCGCGCUCCCUCCCUCCGUCCAGGUAUCAAUAUGCCAUCGCAGGUGUCUAUCUCUCUCUCUGUCUCUCUCUCGCGCUCCCUCCCUCCGUCCAGGUAUCAAUAUGCCAUCGCAGGUGUCGAUCUGUCUAACUCUGUCUCUCUCUCGCGCUCCCUCCCUCCCUCCAGGUAUCAAUAUGCCAUCGCAGGUGUCUAUCUCUCUCUCUGUCUCUCUCGCGCUCCCUCCCUCCGUCCAGGUAUCAAUAUGCCAUCGCAGGUGUCUAUCUCUCUCUCUGUCUCUCUCUCGCGCUCCCUCCCUCCGUCCAGGUAUCAAUAUGCCAUCGCAGGUGUCGAUCUGUCUAACUCUGUCUCUCUCUCGCGCUCCCUCCCUCCGUCCAGGUAUCAAUUUGCCAUCGCAGGUGUCUAUCUCUCUCUCUGUCUUUAACUUUC